rnacentral:rRNA from 1 species
AGUAAUACAUCGGAACGUGUCCUAUUGUGGGGGAUAACUAGUCGAAAGAUUAGCUAAUACCGCAUGAGAUCGAGAGAUGAAAGCAGGGGACCCGGGGGUAACCUUGGGCCUUGCGCGAUUGGAGCGGCCGAUGUCGGAUUAGCUAGUUGGCGGGGUAAAAGCCCACCAAGGCGACGAUCCGUAGCUGGUUUGAGAGAACGACCAGCCACACUGGGACUGAGACACGGCCCAG